rnacentral:rRNA from 1 species
AACGAACGCUGGCGGCGUGCCUAACACAUGCAAGUCGAACGGAUUGAAGGGGCUUGCUCCUAAUCUAGUGGCGCACGGGUGAGUAACGCGUAGAUAAUCUGCCUGAUGAUCUGGGAUAACAGUUCGAAAGGACUGCUAAUACCGGAUAAGCCCACGGGUUCUUUGGAAUCUGCGGGAAAAGGAGGGGACCUUUUGGCCUUCUGUCAUCAGAUGAGUCUGCGUACCUUUAGCUAGUUGGUAGGGUAAAGGCCUACCAAGGCGACGAUGGUUAGCUGGUCUGGGAGGAUGAUCAGCCACACUGGAACUGAGACACGGUCCAGACUCCUACGGGAGGCAGCAGUGGGGAAUUUUGCGCAAUGGGCGAAAGCCUGACGCAGCAACGCCGCGUGAGUGAUGAAGGCUUUCGGGUCGUAAAGCUCUGUCAGGGGGAAAGAAAUGUAUUGUGGCUAAUAUCCACGAUACUUGACGGUACCCCCAAAGGAAGCACCGGCUAACUCCGUGCCAGCCGCCGCGGUAACAC